rnacentral:rRNA from 1 species
AUUGAACGCUGGCGGCAUGCCUUACACAUGCAAGUCGAACGGCAGCACGGGUGCUUGCACCUGGUGGCGAGUGGCGAACGGGUGAGUAAUACAUCGGAACAUGUCCUGUAGUGGGGGAUAGCCCGGCGAAAGCCGGAUUAAUACCGCAUACGAUCCACGGAUGAAAGCGGGGGACCUUCGGGCCUCGCGCUAUAGGGUUGGCCGAUGGCGAAUUAGCUAGUUGGUGGGGUAAAGGCCUACCAAGGCGACGAUCAGUAGCUGGUCUGAGAGGGCGACCAGCCACAAUGGGACUGAGAGACGAGCAAGACGGCAACGGGGGGCAGAAGUGGGGAAUUUUGGAAAAAGGGCGAGAGCUUGAAGGAGUCAUGGCGCGUGUGUGAAGAAGGAGCUCGGAGUGGAAAGGAGUGUGGGGAGGGAGGAAAGAAUGGAGCCUGAGGCGCUGGCGGGUAGAAGGGACAGAAAGAAUAAGCAGCGGCGAACGACGAG